UGCAAGUCGUACGAGAAAUCCUCUGCUUGCAGGGGAGAGUAAAGUGGCGCACGGGUGAGUAUCGCGUGGGUAAUCUACCCUUGAAUUCAGGAUAACACUUCGAAAGGGGUGCUAAUACUGGAUAACAUCCUGAUGGUUUCGGCCAUAGGGAUCAAAGAUAGCCUCUACAUGUAAGCUAUUGUUUAGGGAUGAGCCCGCGUACCAUUAGCUAGUUGGUGGGGUAAGAGCCUACCAAGGCAACGAUGGUUAGCUGGUCUGAGAGGAUGAUCAGCCACACUGGAACUGAAACACGGUCCAGACUCCUACGGGAGGCAGCAGUGAGGAAUUUUGCGCAAUGGGGGAAACCCUGACGCAGCAACGCCGCGUGAGUGAAGAAGGCUUUCGGGUCGUAAAGCUCUGUCAAGAGGGAAGAAAGUGGGAGAUGGUAAUACUGUUUUCUAUUGACGGUACCUCUGAAGGAAGCACCGGCUAACUCCGUGCCAGCAGCCGCGGUAAUACGGGGGGUGCAAGCGUUAUUCGGAUUUAUUGGGCGUAAAGAGCGCGUAGGCGGUUUAUCAAGUCAGAUGUGAAAGCCCUGGGCUCAACCUGGGAAGUGCAUUUGAAACUAGUAGACUUGAGUAUGGGAGAGGGGAGUGGAAUUCCUGGUGUAGAGGUGAAAUUCGUAGAUAUCAGGAGGAACACCGGUGGCGAAGGCGA
rnacentral:rRNA from 1 species